GACGAACGCUGGCGGCAAGCUUAACACAUGCAAGUCGAGCGCCGGAGCAAUACCGAGCGGCAGAGGGGGGAGAAACACGUGGGAACGUGCCUUUCGGGUCGGAACACCUGAGGGAAACUUUUGCUCAAACCGGAUACGCCCUCCUGGGGAAAGUUUACGCCGAAAGAUCGGCCCGCGUCAGAUUGGGUAGCUGGUGGGGGGGGGGCCGGCCCAGCCGACGAUCUGUAGCUGUUCUGAGAGGAAGAUCAAUCACACUGGGACUGACACACGGCCCAGACUCCUACGGGAGGGAGGAGUGGGGAAUAUUGAACGAUGGGCGCAAGCCUGAUCCAUCUAUGCCUCCUGGAUGAAGAAGGCCUUCCGGUUGGAAAGUCCUUUCUUUGGGGACGAUAAUGACUGUCACCACCCAAGAAGCCCCGGCUAAUUUCCUGCCAGCAGCCGCGGGAAUACGAACGGGGCUAGCGUUGUUUGGAAUUACUGGGUGUAAAGCGCACGUACGCAGCCUUGUUAGAUGGGGGUGAAAUCCCUGGGCUCAACCCACUAACUGCCUGCAUGACUGCAAAGCUCUAGGAUGUUAGAGGUUGGCGGAUGUCCCAGUGUAGAGGUGAAAUUCGUUUAUAUUAUAUAAGAACACCAGUGGCUAAGGCAGCCAACUGGCUCAUUUCUGACUCUGAGGUGCGAAGAGCGUGGGGAGCAAACAGGAUUAGAUACCCUGGUAGUCCACGCUGUAAACGAUGGGAGGCUAGUUGUCGGCAAGCAUGCUUGACGGUGACGCAGCUAACGCUUUAAGCCCCCCCCCUGGGGAGUACGGUCGCAAGAUUAAAACUCAAAGGAAUUGGCGGGGGCCCGCACAAGCGGUGGAGCAUGUGGUUUAAUUCGAAGCAACGCGAAGAACCUUACCAGCCCUUGACAUCCCGGGUCGGCUUCCAGAGAUGGAUUCCUUCCAGCAAUGGACCCGGAGACAGGUGUUGCAUGGCUGUCGUCAGCUAGUGUCGCGAGAUGUUGGGUUAAGUCCCGCAACGAGCGCAACCCUCGCUGUCAGUUGCUGCCAUUUAGUUGAGCACUCUAACGGGGCCGCCGGGGAUAAGCCGGAGGAAGGUGGGGAUGACGUCAAGUCAUCAUGCCCCUUACGGGAUGGGCUACACACGUGGUACAAAGGCGUCCAUAAUGGGUUAAUCUCCAAAAGCCGUCUCAGUUCAGAUUGUCCUCUGCAACUCGAGGGCAUGAAGUUGGAAUCGCUAGUAAUCGUGGAUCAGCACGCUACGGUGAAUACGUUCCCGGGCC
rnacentral:rRNA from 1 species